rnacentral:miRNA from 1 species
UCGCUGAUUGGUUGAGCAGU